UUUAACUGCAGUUGUGGGUUUUCAUAUCUAAUAUUUGACCGUUCGUCUUAUUUUAAGUUUUUUUUGAUGAUUAGUAUUUUUAUUGAUUUUAGAUGAUAAGAAAUUAAUAAUAUUUUAUACAUGACUUAUUUUUUUUAAUUUUUUCAUAUUUUUUUAAAUAAGACGAAUGGUUAAACAUUGGAUACGGAAACUCACAACUGCACUUAAA
rfam:Oryza glumipatula chromosome 1, whole genome shotgun sequence.